CGCGCGCCGUAAAAAGAGCAUUAGGAAACAUUUGCAGCCCUCCGGUGCUUCCACUCCUCAGCCCACUCUCUGUCUGUCAGCCUGUGGUCGAUCACCUCCUCCUGCCUGGUCCCUGUAUGCAUGCCUGUAAGAGAGGAAGACGGAUGGACGGAAGGGCAGAAAGAUAAAUAAAGGGAAGGGUCACGCAGGUAUGCGCGCAUCGGCUUCAAAGACAUCUGAUGGGGUGCGUUUUUGAAGCAAGAAGAUGAAAGCGUUGCGUCAGGCAGGAUUUUCGGGACGAGAGCCGGGGCUGUUUUGGCGAGGCACAUCACAGGAGCCGUUGGAGGAGGCCAUCUUUGCAAGUUUAGCCUCUCUUUAUCCCGCUGGUGUAGAUGCUUUAACCGUCCUGACUCGUCCUUGACGAAUGCUUACAGAAAUAACAAUCGCAGAACACAACCCAGAUAUUUUCUUUUGUUUUUUUGUGGUAUUAACAGUAUGUUUUAUAAUAAUACAAAAGAAAAAUAAAAAUCCCUCUCCAGUAAUUGGCUGUGGUUAAAAAGAAAUGCCAAGCGCUGGCCUUCGCUUUACCUGCCCGAGUUAAUGGUCCGUUAAUAGUUUAUGAUCGUAAUUACCCUCUGAAAGAAAAAAAAAAAAGAGAGCAUGAAAUAGAUUGCUUUGACCCCGCCGAACUCAUCUUUCAUUAAUUAGAGGUCAUCCUAAUUGCCAGCGAGAUGUGGGAUGCAUUAAGAAAAAAAAAAAAAAAAGA